GGAAGGAUCAUUACCACACCGAUCCAAACGAUCAACAUCCCUGUGAAACGUUUGCUGUUUACCAAUCUUUGACUUGCGUUGGUUUUGUUGGGGGGGAAAGGACUUUGUCCUGACCUCUUUUUCAAAAGCCAUCGUGGGCCAGCAACACACAAACACCAAAAUAUUAACAAUCAAACUUUCUGAAACCUCAAACGAGGACUGUGGGAGGAGGAGAAGAAGAAGGAUGGAUAUCUAUCUUUCUUUCUUUCUCUACCGCCCAUGGCCUUGAUAUCAUAUUAAAAAUCUGAAAACAACUUUCAGCGAUGGAUAUCUUGGCUCUCGCAACGAUGAAGAACGCAGCGAAAUGCGAUACGUAAUGCGAAUUGCAGAAUUCAGUGAAUCAUCAAACCUUUGAACGCAAAUUGCGCUUCCGGGUAUCCCUGGGAGCAUGCCUGUAUGAGUGUCUGUUAACACCACUCAUCGUCUCUUUUUUCCCUUCUCCUCUUCGGAGAAGCGAGAGAGAGAGAGGAUGGACUUUGAGAUGUCCUAGAAUGAUCAUAACAACCAUUCUAUGUCUCUUGAAAUGUGGGGAAUACGCGUCCAAACCACCAAACAAGGCCGCAAGUUCAACUCCUCAUCUCAAGCGUGGUAGUUGUGUUGUAAAAGACACAUCCGUAACGCUGUGAUGUUUGAGGAUACGAAUGAGUUUGCUUGUAAGGUUGUGUUUUGGGUUCGGUGUAACAAACAAAGAGCGUAGGUGGAAUGAAGAAAGAAGGGUCCUUUUUUGGAUCUUUUUCUCUUUGUUCAACCUUGCAAAAACCUUUUUCUUGGACCUCAUAUCAAGCAAGAAGACCCGCUGAAUUUAAGCAUAUAACUAAGCGGAGGAAAAGAAACUAACCAGGAUUCCCCUAGUAACGGCGAGUGAAGCGGGAAAAGCUCAAGCUGAAAAUCGGUGUGGCCCCGCCACUCUGAAUUGUAGUCUAUAGAAGCUGUUGUCAGUGACGGUCCCGGGAGAAGUCUCUUGGAACAGGGCAUCAUAGAGGGUGACAAUCCCGUCUGUGCCCGGGAAUCCGCCACGUACGAUACGCUUUCAUCGAGUCGAGUUGCUUGGGACUGCAGCUCAAAAUGGGUGGUAAAUUCCAUCUAAAGCUAAAUAUGGGCGAGAGACCGAUAGCGAACAAGUACCGUGAGGGAAAGAUGCAAAGAACUUUGAAAAGAGAGUUAAAAAGUACUUGAAAUUGCUGAAAGGGAAGCGAAUCAAACCAGUGUUGAUGCGCGGUCAUCUUUCAGUGGGCAAGUGCGCUUGGCUUGUGUGUCGGUGAGGUGUCACAACCCUCCGCUGCGAUGCCUUUGCGUGUUGUCUACUGCGCUGUGACCGUGCGUAGCUCAGCAUCAGUUCUUGUUCUCGCGGGAUAGGGUAUGCAGGGAGGUAGAGUGCGGCUUCGUCGUACUUGUUAUAUCCUGUGUAUUGUGUCGUGAGUAGGACUGAGGAAUUCACAGUGUACGCCUUUUCGGCUGGGUGGCCGUUGUUCUCGUGUUCCACAUACUCUGGACUGCUCGCAGUGUUGGGUGUUGUUGGUUGAUGCGAGUGCCAGCGGUUUGUCCAUGUACGCUCGGGAUGCUGAGGAAAUGGUUUGAUCCGGCCCGUCUUGAAACACGGACCAAGGAGUCUAACAUCUAUGCGAGUAUUCGGGUGGCAAACCCUUGUGCGCAAUGAAAGUGAAGGUUGAUGUAGGUCAACUGAGGUAGGACGGGCGGUUUCGGCCGCCCCGCACUAUCGACCGGCCAUGAUCCUCUGUGAGAAAGGUCUGAGUGUGAGCAUACGUGUUGGGACCCGAAAGAUGGUGAACUAUGCCUGAAUAGGGUGAAGCCAGGGGAAACUCUGGUGGAGGCUCGUAGCGAUUCUGACGUGCAAAUCGAUCGUCAAAUUUGGGUAUAGGGGCGAAAGACUAAUCGAACCAUCUAGUAGCUGGUUCCCUC
rnacentral:misc_RNA from 1 species